UAGGAAUGAACUCCUUAGUUGGUUGUCCA
rnacentral:piRNA from 1 species